rnacentral:rRNA from 1 species
GCUGCUGUUAAAAAGCUCGUAGUUGGAUACAGGGCUCAGGUUGUGUUGUGGCCAUCUAGUUGUGUGAGCAGCGUACUGCUGUGAGCGCCUCUCUUUGGAUAACACCCAGCACAUCAAGACCUGUGCUCUAGGAAUGGUGGUAAUGGUGCCCUGUGAUUAGGUUCCUUCAUUGGGACUGAAAACGAUUACGUGUAAACCAUACGCAUACGGGUCGACCACCGAUGUUACUGUGAACAAAUCAGUGUGUCCAAAGCAGGCGUUGCCUUGAAUGAUAAAGCAUGGAAUAACAAGGGAUCGAUUCCCUCGGAUCUUUUUGUUGGUUUUUAACCCGGGAAGGAAUAAUUCACGUAGUGGUUCGCUAGCUUCGUGCGACGCGGAACAUUACAAAGCGGGAUCAAUAGGGACUGCCGGGGUCGUACGUACUCCCACGUCAGAGGUGAAAUUCUUAGAUCGUGGGAAGACGAACUUCUGCGAAAGCAUUCGACAAGAAUGUCUUCAUUAAUCAAGAACGAGAGUGUGGGGAUCGAAGAUGAUCAGACACCGUCGUAGUCCACUACUGUAACGAUGCCGUCUCAGGAUCGAGA